rnacentral:sRNA from 1 species
AUUGUCAACUUUUUUGCUGGCCUAGCAAGGGCAAUGGGGAUACAAUGGGGACAUCACAGGCUUCAUCCCUCCACCCCUCAUCUUCGGGGCCGGCAUCGACUCCACCUGCCUGUUCUGGAGCACGUUCUGUGGGGAGCGAGGCGCCUGCGUCCUCUAUGACAAUGUGGUCUACAGAUACCUAUAUGUCAGCAUCGCCAUCGCGCUCAAAUCCUUCGCCUUCAUCCUGUACACCACCACGUGGCAGUGCCUGAGGAAAAACUAUAAACGCUACAUCAAAAACCACGAGGGCGGGCUGAGCACCAGUGAGUUCUUUGCCUCUACUCUGACCCUAGACAACCUGGGGAGGGACCCUGUGCCCGCAAACCAGACACAUAGGACAAAAUUUAUCUAUAACCUGGAAGACCAUGAGUGGUGUGAAAACAUGGAGUCCGUUUUAUAGUGACGAAAGGAGGGCUGAACUCUGUAUUAGUAAUCCAAGGGUCAUUUUUUCUUAAAAAAAGAAAAAAAGGUU